rfam:Hordeum vulgare subsp. vulgare, WGS project CAJW01000000 data, contig: morex_contig_188882
AAAAUUCCGUGAUGAAUUAUGAAAUCUACAACGCAUGUCAAACUUCGGAGAUGCCAUUUAUUUGGCAUUGAUGAGAUGAUGUUUCAUAUUCUGAGCAAAAA